UCCAGACUCCUACGGGAGGCAGCAGUGAGGAAUAUUGGUCAAUGGGAGAGAUCCUGAACCAGCCAAGCCGCGUGAGGGAAGACGGACCUAUGGGUUGUAAACCUCUUUUGUCGGAGAACAAAACCCGGGACGUGUCCCGGACUGCGUGUAUCCGAAGAAAAAGCAUCGGCUAACUCCGUGCCAGCAGCCGCGGUAAUACGGAGGAUGCGAGCGUUAUCCGGAUUUAUUGGGUUUAAAGGGUGCGUAGGCGGAGUGCAAAGCCGGGGGUAAAGGCGCGGGGCCAAACCCCGCUCAGCCGUUGAAACUGGCGUUCUUGAGUGGGCGAGAAGUAUGCGGAAUGCGUGGUGUAGCGGUGAAAUGCAUAGAUAUCACGCAGAACUCCGAUUGCGAAGGCGGCGCACCGGCGCCCAACUGACGCUCAUGCACGAAAGCGUGGGUAUCGAACAGGAUUAGAUACCCCAUUACAA
rnacentral:rRNA from 1 species